UACGUAGGAGGCAAGCGUUGUCCGGAAUCACUGGGCGUAAAGCGCGUGUAGGUGGUGGGACAAGUCUGCUGUGAAAGCGCCUGGCUUAACCGGGCGAGGUCGGCGGAAACUGUUCGACUCGAGGACGGUAGAGGGGGGCGGAAUUCCCGGUGUAGUGGUGAAAUGCGUAGAGAUCGGGAGGAACACCUGGUGGCGAAGGCGGCCCCCCUGGGC
rnacentral:rRNA from 1 species